UUGGUUUGACUUCGAUAGCGGGCU
rnacentral:tRNA from 1 species